rnacentral:rRNA from 1 species
CAGCCGCCGCGGGAAUACAGAGGGUGCGAGCGUUAAUCGGAUUUACUGGGCGUAAAGCGUGCGAAGGCGGCUUCUUAAGUCGGAUGUGAAAUCCCUGAGCUUAACUUAGGAAUUGCAUUCGAUACUGGGAAGCUAGAGUAUGGGAGAGGAUGGUAGAAUUCCAGGUGUAGCGGUGAAAUGCGUAGAGAUCUGGAGGAAUACCGAUGGCGAAGGCAGCCAUCUGGCCUAAUACUGACGCUGAGGUACGAAAGCAUGGGGAGCAAACAGGAUUAGAUACCCGCGUAGUCCCUGUCUCUUAUAC